UACGUAGGGCGCGAGCGUUGUCCGGAUUUAUUGGGCGUAAAGAGCUCGUAGGCGGUCUGUCGCGUCGGAUGUGAAAACCCAGGGCUCAACCCUGGGCCUGCAUUCGAUACGGGCAGACUAGAGUUCGGUAGGGGAGACUGGAAUUCCUGGUGUAGCGGUGAAAUGCGCAGAUAUCAGGAGGAACACCGGUGGCGAAGGCGGGUCUCUGGGCCGAAACUGACGCUGAGGAGCGAAAGCGUGGGGAGCAAACAGG
rnacentral:rRNA from 1 species